GUAGGGAAUCUUCCACAAUGGGCGCAAGCCUGAUGGAGCAACACCGCGUGAGUGAAGAAGGGUUUCGGCUCGUAAAGCUCUGUUGUUGGAGAAGAACAUGCGUGAGAGUAACUGUUCACUCAGAGACGGUAUCCAACCAGAAAGUCAUGGCUAACUACGUGCCAGCAGCCGCGGUAAUACGUAGGUGGCAAGCGUUAUCGGUAUUUAUUGGGCGUAAAGCGAGCACAGACGGUUGCUUAGGUCUGAUUUGAACGCCUUCAGCUUAAC
rnacentral:rRNA from 1 species